rnacentral:rRNA from 1 species
CAAUAGCGUAUAUUAAAGUUGUUGCAGUUAAAAAGCUCGUAGUUGGAUUUCUGGUCGGAAGCUCCUGUCCUCUGAUGAGCGUACAAGUGCGUCCUACCAUCCUUCUGUUAACCUUUAAGGCUUUCGCGGCUUUCUAGGGGCUCAGAUAUUUUACCUUGAGAAAAUUAGAGUGUUUCAGGCAGGCUAGCGCCGGAAUACAUUAGCAUGGAAUAAUGGAAUAGGACUUUUGCCUCUUCUGUUGGUCAUGAGGCUCGAGUAAUGAUUAAUAGGGAUAGUUGGGGGCAUUAGUACUUAACUGUCAGAGGUGAAAUUCUCGGAUUUGGUAAAGACUAACUUAUGCGAAAGCAUUUGCCAAGGAUGUUUUCAUUAA